GGACGGAUUGGAAGAUGAGGAAGAUUUGUAAUUAGAAUCAGAAUUGAUGGAACCAACAAUAGUUAAUGCCGCAAGUGAUCAAUUGGGUGGGCGAGAAGAAAUAGUAAUUUUGUAGAGUUCUGUUAAGUAGUUUUUAGAAAGGUAACAAUUGUAUAUUUACGAGGAUGCUGCAUAGAUAGGAGUGGGAUUAUGUAGAAUAGAUAUUAGUUCAUUUUUGUAAGAUAUUGGUAAAAUAGACUAAUAAUCUAUAGAAUAGUCAGUUUAGGAGGACGGAUGGUUAACUUAGUUAUUAAAAGUGAUUAAUUAUAGGAUUAUGGUUUGAAUCUGGGAAUAGGGAGUAAGUAUAUAGGAGUUGUAGAAAUUAGUCUGAGGGCCAGACUAUGAUAGUCAUGAGCCACGGUAAGUUUGGUGC
rnacentral:lncRNA from 1 species